CUACGGGGCGCACCAGUGAGGAAUAUUGCACAAUGGGGGGAACCCUGAUGCAGCAACGCCGCGUGGAGGAUGACGCAUUUCGGUGUGUAAACUCCUUUUAUAUGUCAAGAAAAUGACGGUAGCAUAUGAAUAAGCACCGGCUAACUCCGUGCCAGCAGCCGCGGUAAUACGGAGGGUGCAAGCGUUACUCGGAAUCACUGGGCGUAGAGGACGCGUAGGCGGGUUGGAAAGUCAGGUGUGAAAUCCUACAGCUUAACCGUAGAACUGCACUUGAAACUUCUAAUCUAGAGUAUGGGAGGGGGAGAUGGAAUUAGUGGUGUAGGGGUAAAAUCCGUAGAUAUCACUAGGAAUACCUAAAGCGAAGGCGAUCUCCUGGAACAUUACUGACGCUAAGGCGUGAAAGCGUGGGGAGCAAACAGGAUUAGAUACCCGUGUAGUC
rnacentral:rRNA from 1 species